UUAAUGAAUGUGCUUUGAGAAUAAAAUGGU
rnacentral:piRNA from 1 species